rnacentral:rRNA from 1 species
CAGCAGCCGCGGGAAUACGAAGGGGGCUAGCGUUGCUCGGAAUUACUGGGCGUAAAGGGAGCGUAGGCGGACAUUUAAGUCAGGGGUGAAAUCCCAGAGCUCAACUCUGGAACUGCCUUUGAUACUGGGUGUCUUGAGUGUGAUAGAGGUAUGUGGAACUCCGAGUGUAGAGGUGAAAUUCGUAGAUAUUCGGAAGAACACCAGUGGCGAAGGCGACAUACUGGAUCAUUACUGACGCUGAGGCUCGAAAGCGUGGGGAGCAAACAGGAUUAGAUACCCCUGUAGUCCCUGUCUCUUAUAA